UCACCUCCUAUAAACCUGUGGUAUUUUUGAUACCUUAUUGCUUGUUUCUGUUAUCUUUUUCAAAUAAUAUAUUCUGAUUCCUGUGAGAUGUUUGUGAUGGUGCCUUGUAUUCUGCCAGUCUAUUUUUGUUAAGUAAAAUCCUAUUUUGCAGGAAGAAGACAUGAACUUGUCUACAUGAACAUGUCUGAACGAAAAAAAUAUCUUGUAUUGACAAAGUUCCUGGGUCAAAGAGCAUAUAAGUAUUGUUAUCGGUCCUUUUCUUUAUAAAUCUUGCCUAUGAAACAGUUACUCCCUAUUUAAGAUGAACUUUAAAAUUAAAAUCUUUGGUCAUUUGGACAUAAAAUCUUGUCUUUCAAAUUCACUUUUGCCAAAAGCACUUAUUUUCUUACAUAUAUUUUUGUUUUCUUCAUGGAUCCAUGUAUCGCACAAUACUGCUUGUACCAGCCAAGACUACCCAUUGUGAUACAGGGUACCUGCCAUGCCAACCUAACCCUAUGUCUGUGAGCGGGAGUGAUGUGUUUCAUAACAUACCGUUUAGUGAUCUUGUCCAUUUAUGUCCAAAUUGACCAAGAAGUAUUUACUCAAGAGCGGAAAAAGUCAAGUCCAUUUAUAACAUGUUCUCUUAGAUACUAAUUAAUGCUUAAACAUGUUUUGUUUCUUAGAAGCUUUAAAUACUUCAGAUCACUUAAAAUAAAAAUUUAGCUAAAAGUGAAGUAGUUGACAGCUUUACCAUUUAUCAAUGAUGUUUUUUUUUUGAUGUGCUUUUCUUGAACUAUAUAUUAUUUUAUAAUAUGAAAACGUACAACUUAUUAUUUUUUAGGAUUUUCUUUUUGUUUUUUAACUCAGGUGCCUGCUUGGCUGCCGAGGCGUUCGGUUUAGGCCUUUAAANNNNNNNNNNNNNNNNNNNNUUGGUUUAGGCCUUUAAAGGCGUCAACACUGCCUAGGCAAAUUGACAAGACUGCCCACGCUAUUCCAUCUCAUGUGUUUAAACUCAUGUCUGCAUAUUUAAACUUAGGUUUCUUUUUUUUCUAUUUUUUUCCUUCUAUGCCAAAUAAUUUGCAAAAGCAUGGCUUUGAGUUCAAUCUCUUUCUUCACUAUUAAACAAGAAUUUUGUGACUGAAUACAAAGAUAAGCAGCACUUUGAUCAGGGGUUCUUUACCAUUGUGUCAGAUAAAUGAACUUUUAUAUCAUGUAUUCUAGGAUGCUGAUGAGUUAGUGCUGAUGGACUAUGUAAGAGUAUAACCUGUUAGAGGUAAUUAUCUACAUCUUUUUUUGCUCUUCCCUUAUAUGCAGCAUAAGAAGCUGCUCUUACCUUUAGAUGCUUGACUUUUUAAAUUUUUGAUGAUUCUUGUCUUAUUACUAUUGGACAAUCUCGGAAACUGGAGAACAAUAAUAGUGUUGCAAAAAUAUUUUUAGUGGUGGUAAUCUCUAUUAGGGGUUGUUUUUUAUGGUGUCUGUUAACUUCAUUGAUGGUUGAUGGCAAUCAUGGUUUCUCUUCUCUGAAUUGAUUCUUAACUUUCAGUGAUCUGCAUAUGAUGUUGAUGCUUCUGUCUGAUUUCUUUGUAUCAUAUGCAUAAUGAUACUUGAAUGUAGAUAUACGAUGUUGUAAGGUAUCGGCUGCAUCGAAUGAAGAAAAAAUUAAAGGAUGAAUUAGACAGCAGGAAUACCAUUCAGGAGUAUAUAUGCCCUAACUGUGGGAGACAGUAACGGGGAAACGUUCUAGCCUUUUUAAUAUGAGACUUAUAAGGUUGAUCUUCUAAAAUUCUGAAACUUCAAAAUUGUCAACUGCCAUAUGCUCAGAUAUUCAACUUUCGAUGCACUGCAACUUGUAAGCCUUAUUGAUGAGUAUUUUCACUGCGAAAACUGCAAUGGUGAACUUGUUGCUGAGAGUGAUAAACUUGCUGCUGAGGAAAUGGGAGAUGGUGAUGACAAUGCUAGGAUCCGCAGACGUGAAAAAUUAAAAGACAUGCUUCAAAAGAUGGAGGUUAGCCUUAGAAUGUCAUUUUCUUUCUUUGCCAUGUGGAUUUUUUUGAUUCAAUUCCUAUCUCUUUAUGAAGUGUGUACUAUACGAUAUAUGCUUCAUUUGCAUGUUCUCUAGAAUUACUUGUCCAAAUGACUUCAUAGCUUCCCUAAACUACAAUUCUGAUGCAUGUCUAAGAUGGUAGAGAGAUAUAUGGCAGAAUACAAUUUCUAAUAUUGCCAUCUCAAGUAUAAAUGGUAAAAUUACUGUCAGAACUUUGAAGUGUUUGUUGUAGGAAGCCCUUGGAGAAGCAAUUACCUACUACCUCUUAAGCCUUUGCCUAUCUUAUAUUAAAAGACCUGGUAUUUGAGAGUGUAUAUCUCUUGUUUCAUUUAUCUGAAAUAAUCAUAGAUUUAUUUGAAGUAAUUUUCUUUGACAUUUCAUACAAUACGUGUUUUAAUUUUAUUAUCUUGAGACACUGAUAAGUGCAUAUUUUGAUUAUAAUACCUUGGAACACUGAUAAGCUGGUAGCUACCAUUCACGGUAUUAGCAUAUUAGCUUGGAAAUCUUGGAAAGAUGUAGAUGUCUUGUUGGAACACACAGGCACUGACACACACACACACACACACACAGAGAGAGAGAGAGAGAGAGAGAGAGAGAGAGAGAGAGAGAGAGAGAGAGAGAGAGAGAGAGAGCGUCUCCACCGCGUCUCCAGUCGUCUGCGACGCAAUCCCAGCCUCCACCACGUCUUCUUCCUCCCGUCGAUCAAGCACCUUUUCUUCAUCCUGUGAUGCAGCACCAUCUCCUUCCCGUGAUCGCAGCAUCCGGCAUCCGCCCUCUCCACACCCGUUUCUCUUCCCAGCGGUCCCACAACAUUCGCCUCUUCUCCCGUCCGUAUCCAGCUCCACGGAUCAAGCCUCCGCGAUCCAUCCCAGCAAAUCCUUCCGUUCCAGCACCCGGCCAUGAUCAGCCGUCCCGAGCGUUCCUCCCUGCAUCGCGUCCCCCUCUUGGCCCAAAGAAGGAAGUCCACAGCGCCCCUCCUCCGAGUUCCAGCUCCAUUCCGUCGAUCCCGCGGCCCCAAGUCCGUGAUCAACGUCCCAGCCGCCCGUGAAGCACCUCACCUCGCCGUCCAUGACACCUCCAAGCCUUCCUCCACGGCAGAUCCACGUCAUCCUCCCAGAUUUCCAGCGAUCCCGCGUGCAUCAGCUCCCGAUCCAGCCUCCUCCGCCUCUGCUUCCGCCGUGAUGGACUGCCAAGGGUGCAAAAGUGUUCAGCACUGCAGUUGCUGCCACCGGUGAUAGUCAACAAAUAAUUAAAGAGGGUGAAGAGAAGAUAAAACUGCAUACCCAUUCUUACUGUUGCUUAGAUUAUGCACAGGUCACCUCCUAUAAACCUGUGGUAUUUUUGAUACCUUAUUGCUUGUUUCUGUUAUCUUUUUCAAAUAAUAUAUUCUGAUUCCUGUGAGAUGUUUGUGAUGGUGCCUUGUAUUCUGCCAGUCUAUUUUUGUUAAGUAAAAUCCUAUUUUGCAGGAAGAAGACAUGAACUUGUCUACAUGAACAUGUCUGAACGAAAAAAAUAUCUUGUAUUGACAAAGUUCCUGGGUCAAAGAGCAUAUAAGUAUUGUUAUCGGUCCUUUUCUUUAUAAAUCUUGCCUAUGAAACAGUUACUCCCUAUUUAAGAUGAACUUUAAAAUUAAAAUCUUUGGUCAUUUGGACAUAAAAUCUUGUCUUUCAAAUUCACUUUUGCCAAAAGCACUUAUUUUCUUACAUAUAUUUUUGUUUUCUUCAUGGAUCCAUGUAUCGCACAAUACUGCUUGUACCAGCCAAGACUACCCAUUGUGAUACAGGGUACCUGCCAUGCCAACCUUACCCUAUGCCGGUGAGCGGGAGUGAUGUGUUUCAUAACAUACCGUUUAGUGAUCUUGUCCAUUUAUGUCCAAAUUGACCAAGAAGUAUUUACUCAAGAGCGGAAAAAGUCAAGUCCAUUUAUAACAUGUUCUCUUAGAUACUAAUUAAUGCUUAAACAUGUUUUGUUUCUUAGAAGCUUUAAAUACUUCAGAUCACUUAAAAUAAAAAUUUAGCUA
rnacentral:lncRNA from 1 species